CUACGGGAGGCAGCAGUGAGGAAUAUUGCACAAUGGGGGGAACCCUGAUGCAGCAACGCCGCGUGGAGGAUGACGCAUUUCGGUGUGUAAACUCCUUUUAUAUAUCAAGAAAAUGACGGUAGCAUAUGAAUAAGCACCGGCUAACUCCGUGCCAGCAGCCGCGGUAAUACGGAGGGUGCAAGCGUUACUCGGAAUCACUGGGCGUAAAGGACGCGUAGGCGGGUUGGAAAGUCAGGUGUGAAAUCCUACAGCUUAACUGUAGAGCUGCACUUGAAACUUCUAAUCUAGAGUAUGGGAGGGGGAGAUGGAAUUAGUGGUGUAGGGGUAAAAUCCGUAGAUAUCACUAGGAAUACCUAAAGCGAAGGCGAUCUCCUGGAACAUUACUGACGCUAAGGCGUGAAAGCGUGGGGAGCAAACAGGAUUAGAUACCCCUGUAGUC
rnacentral:rRNA from 1 species